CGCACCUUGCGCUCUGUGGUAUUCCGCAGAGCAUGCCUGUUUGAGUGUCGCGCUCCCUUCUCAACCACCCCAUUCUUGUAACCGAGAUCGGGGCGGCUUGGAUCAUGGCUCUAUUGAGCGGCUGAGGCCCUUUUUGGAGGGCGUAAGCUGCGGGCCGAAAUAGCGCUAGCCCGUAUCGAGACCUCGGAAACACUGGCUUGACGAUGUUGUACGCAUCCUCAUCUCUAUGCUGACCCGAGCAAAUCGAGUGGCUACGAAUUUCUCUUCUGAAUUUUCGACCUCAAAUCAGGUAGGAUUACCCGCUGAACUUAA
rnacentral:misc_RNA from 1 species